GGACGAACGCUGGCGGCACGCUUAACACAUGCAAGUCGAACGGAGAUAUUUGAGUUUACUUAGGAUAUCUUAGUGGCGGACGGGUGAGUAACACGUGAGCAACCUGCCUUGGAGAGAGGGAUAGCUUCUGGAAACGGAUGGUAAUACCUCAUAACAUACAGAGACCGCAUGAUUUCUGUAUCAAAGAUUUAUCACUCUGAGAUGGGCUCGCGUCUGAUUAGCUAGAUGGUGAGGUAACGGCCCACCAUGGCGACGAUCAGUAGCCGGACUGAGAGGUUGAACGGCCACGUUGGGACUGAGACACGGCCCAGACUCCUACGGGAGGCAGCAGUGGGGAAUAUUGCACAAUGGGGGAAACCCUGAAUGCAGCGAUGCCGCGUGGAGGAAGAAGGUUUUCGGAUUGUAAACUCCUGUCUUAAAGGACGAUAAUGACGGUACUUUAGGAGGAAGCUCCGGCUAACUACGUGCCAGCCGCAGC
rnacentral:rRNA from 1 species